rnacentral:lncRNA from 1 species
AUAGCGACUCUACAGCCGGAUUACCGCUAGGGUGUGUGAAAUCGACUGUGCAAAGCAAAGAAAAGAAAAAAUAAUAAAAAGUACCGAAACUAAGUAGUCUGUGGUUGGGGAUAGCGACUCUACAGCCGGAUUGCCUUUUGUUUUGGGAAAGCACCGUCUAGACUCACGAGAAAAAAAAAAAGAAAAAAAAUUGAAAAAAAUGGAAAAAAAUUUGAUCGUGAACUCUCCUGGUUUUGAUAUAAAACGGUUGUGAAUUGGUCCAGUGAUCGUUCCUUUUGUCCUAUAAGUUUGAGGUGGGAGUAGAUGGGCCUGCGAUUUUUAGUGUGAGACCCUAGGUAGAUUGACCGUACUUGAACUUAAAUUGCAUGAUAAGUGCUUGGAACCGGGUUUGGGUUUAAGAGGAUCGAAAUACUUGCAAUCGCGGCUAACACACGUUUUAGUUUUAAUAAGUAAUUUAAGCUUUUGUCCCGAAUGAUUAUUCCGACUAUGAUUCCGUUUCGCAUAAUUCUUUUUCGGGGACGAAAAAAGGUCCUGGUGCAAAUGGAGCAAAAACGAGUAAUAUGGAAAUGAUCAGCCAGUUGGGCAGAGUGGAGUGCCAGAGAUCGAAGGAAAUUCACCGCUAUUUUCUAUGAGUAGGCCGAGCCCGCUAUCUCUAACAAUAAAAAGCUGCAUAAUAUAAAUUAGAGAAUGAAAUUAUAAUAAUAAAAAGGGCGGCUACUGUUGUUGGCUAUUAAUAUAAAUUUCGAUAAUAUCAGUAGGGGAUUUGGGCCAUUGUUUUAAUAUUGUCAAUCAACAUCGUCUGUGACCACAUCAUUGGGCCGCGAGAGAAUUAAAGUCAGGCACCGACUUGAGAAGCCAACGGCUAUUAUUUUACUUGGAAACAAAGUAACUUGAUAAUAUAUAUUCGAUAGAACCACGAAUUGAAAGGGGCAGCCGCACAUCGAUAAAGGAUAUAAUACAUCACGGCUGGGAGGCGUAGAACGGGAGAUCAGACGGCAACAACAUCAGACGAACAUUAGCGGGACGAUCAGCAGGGAAGAAAAGACUAUUUGAGGGUUUAAGCCGCGAUCAAGAUUCAAGUCCGGGUUUGCAAUUUAUUAGUAUUCGGUUUUAAAGACUUUGUGUUUUUAACUUGGUUCUAUGAUUUGUUAAUUUAUUCGAGACUUGUUUCUUGUUCUUGACCAUGUUUUCCGGCUAAAAUCUUAAACUACCUAGGCAUGACAAUAGUUUAAAUAAAGUUUGGUUCUUUAUUCG